rnacentral:misc_RNA from 1 species
UGGGUUUCUUAUCUUCUCAAAGAAUUACAAGUUUCUGUUCAGUUGCCUAUUCCUCUCAUGUGUGAUAACCAAGCUGCAAUUCAUAUUCCUAGCAAUCCUGUUUUUCAUGAGAGAACCAAGCAUUUAGAUAUUGACUCCCAUCUGGUUCGAGAGCAAUUGCAGAAGGUUUUUGUUCAGCCUACUCAUUUGUCCUUUGCCCAUCAAAUUGCUGAUAUAUUCACUAAGCUCUUAGGUGCUGCUUCUCAUCAUUAUCUGAAGUCCAAGUUGGGUUUGAUCGACUUUCCUCAAACUCCAACUUGAGGAUGUUGGCAGAUUAAUUUUAUUUAGUCUAUUUUUCUUAUUUUUAGUUAUCAAAUUUCAGAUGGAUGAGUUGGCAAAAAAGUCAACAUUUAUGGGCUUAUCCAGCUAGUGUAUAUAUAUGAG